AUGGAUGGAUGGAUGGAUGGAUGGAUGGAUGGAUAGAUAGGUAGGGAGGUAGAUGGACCAUAGAUAGAUGGAUGGAUAGGUAGAUCCUGCAGUGGGGAAAUUUUCAGUGUGGCAGUAGCAGAUAGGAAAAAAAGUUAAAAAAAAAAAAAAGCAGCACUCAGUGCACAGAUAUAAAUAGAUGCUUUCUCCUUAGAGAAGAAAUAGAAAUGCUUGUAAAAAAAAAAAAACCCUGUGAAAUUGCACAUAUUGACUUAUUUACAUUUUAUUGCAGUUACUUCAUGGGUGAUCUGAACUACUGGGAGCAGGCUUGAUUGAACACAGUCUGACUGCUGCAGGAAGGAAGGACCUCCUUCAAACAUCGUGGGUGAAGCAGUCUGUCCCUGAAGGAGCUGCCGGUGAUGGUCCUGUUUCCUGCAGGGGGUGGGAGAUGUCCUCCAUGAUAGACAACAGCUUUGUCAUCAUCCUCCUGUCUACCACCAGCCCAGGACAGAGCUUGCUUUCUUAACCAGUUUCUUUAGUCUCUUCCUGUCUGCAGCCGUGAUGCUGCUGCUCCAGCAGACCAGUCCAUACAGGAUGGCUGAUACCACCACACAACCAUAAAAGGUCCUCAGAAUUGCUCCCUGCACCCCGAAGGACCUCAGUUUCCUGAGCAGUCAGAGUGUAAAGAAUUGAAGCUGUCAGAGGCUUUCUGUGGUGAAGAGGCUGCAGGACAUCAGCUGCUCCAACAGUUAACUCACCCGGUUACGUCUCCAUCCUGACGCUGCUCUGCUGGACCGGAGCUUCUGGACCAGCCGGGUGGACCUUCCUUCACAGAUCUUCCCGGUGGGAGUGAUUCUGAGUCGGCCUUGGUUGACUGCAAACUCC